AUUAUUCAUAACGACUCUCGGCAACGGAUAUCUCGGCUCUCGCAUCGAUGAAGAACGUAGCGAACUGCGAUACUUGGUGUGAAUUGCAGAAUCCCGUGAACCAUCGAGUCUUUGAACGCAAGUUGCGCCCGAAGCCUUGGCUGAGGGCACGUUUGCCUGGGUGUC
rnacentral:rRNA from 1 species